AGCUCCAAUAGCGUAUAUUAAAGUUGUUGCAGUUAAAAAGCUCGUAGUUGAAUUUCUGCGUCAGGCGGCGGUCCGCGGCCUUUGUGUCGUGUGUACUUGCGUGUCCUGGUGCAUGUUUUGUGGGGUGCGGCUGCCGGCGGCUUGACUGUCGUUGGUGUCGUGUUUUGAGCCCUGCAUCGAUUACUGUGAACAAAUUAGAGUGUUUAAAGCAGGCUUGAUUGCUUGAAUACAUUAGCAUGGAAUAAUGAUAUAGGACUUUGGUGCUAUUUCGUUGGUUGUGUACCAAGGUAAUGAUUAAUAGGGAUAGUUGGGGGUAUUCAUAUUUGAUUGUCAGAGGUGAAAUUCUUGGAUUUAUUAAAGAUGAACAAGUGCGAAAGCAUUUACCAAGGAUGUUUUCAUU
rnacentral:rRNA from 1 species